GAUGAACGCUGGCGGCGUGCCUAAUACAUGCAAGUCGAGCGGACAGACGAGGAGCUUGCUCCUCUGACGUUAGCGGCGGACGGGUGAGUAACACGUGGAUACCCUAUCUAUAAGACUGGGAUAACUUCGGGAAACCGGAGCUACUACCGGAUAAUAUAUUGAACCGCAUGGUUCAAUAGUGAAAGACGGUUUUGAUGUCACUUAUAGAUGGAUCCGCGCCGCAUUAGCUAGUUGGUAAGGUAACGGCUUACCAAGGCAACGAUGCGUAGCCGACCUGAGAGGGUGAUCGGCCACACUGGAACUGAGACACGGUCCAGACUCCUACGGGAGGCAGCAGUAGGGAAUCUUCCGCAAUGGGCGAAAGCCUGACGGAGCAACGCCGCGUGAGUGAUGAAGGUCUUCGGAUCGUAAAACUCUGUUAUUAGGGAAGAACAAAUGUGUAAGUAACUAUGCACGUCUUGACGGUACCUAAUCAGAAAGCCCCGGCUAACUACGUG
rnacentral:rRNA from 1 species